UAGGGAAUAUUGCACAAUGGGGGAAACCCUGAUGCAGCAACGCCGCGUGAGUGAUGAAGGCCCUAGGGUUGUAAAGCUCUGUUCUUGGGGAACAAAAAAAUGAGUGUACCCAAGAAGAAAGGACCGGCUAACUUCGUGCCAGCAGCCGCGGUAAGACGAGGGGUCCGAGCGUUGUCCGGAAUCAUUGGGCGUAAAGAGGGUGUAGGCGGUUUUGUAAGUCAGAAGUGAAAGUCUUGGGCUUAACCCAAGAAGUGCUUUUGAUACUGCAGGGCUUGAGUGUGGAAGAGGGCAGUAGAAUUCCUGGUGUAGCGGUGGAAUGCGUAGAUAUCAGGAGGAAUACCGGAGGCGAAGGCAUCUGCCUGGUCCAACACUGACGCUGAGACCCGAAAGCGUGGGGAGCAAACAGG
rnacentral:rRNA from 1 species